GACAGACUCUCGGCAAUGGAUAUCUCGGCUCUCGCAUCGAUGAAGAGCGCAGCGAAAUGCGAUACGUGGUGCGAAUUGCAGAAUCCCGCGAAC
rnacentral:rRNA from 1 species